rnacentral:rRNA from 1 species
AUAUUGGUCAAUAGCUGGAAGUCUGAACCAGCCAUGCCGCUUGCAGGAAGAAGGCCUUCUGGGUUGUAAACUGCUUUUGCGAGGGACUAAAAAGCUCAUGCGUGAGAAAUUGAAAGUACCUGGUGAAUAAGCCACGUCUAACUACGUGCCAGCAGCCGCGGUAAUACGUAGGUGGCAAGCGUUGUCCGGAUUUAUUGGGUUUAAAGGGUGCGUAGGCGGCUCUGUAAGUCAGUGGUGAAAUAUGGCAGCUCAACUGUCAGGGCGCCAUUGAUACUGCGGAGCUUGAGUACAGAUGAGGUAGGCGGAAUUGACGGUGUAGCGGUGAAAUGCUUAGAUAUCGUCAAGAACGCCGAUAGCGAAGGCAGCUUACUGGGCUGUAACUGACGCUGAGGCACGAAAGUGUGGGGAUCAAAC